rnacentral:rRNA from 1 species
GAUGACCCGCUGCCGGCUGGCACCCAGGUGCUGCUGGCUGUCGUCAGCUCGUGUCGUGAGAUGUUGGGUUAAGUCCCGCAACGAGCGCAACCCUUGUCCUUAGUUGCCAGCACGUAAUGGUGGGAACUCUAAG